rnacentral:rRNA from 1 species
UAUCCAGACUCCUACGGGAGGCAGCAGUAGGGAAUCUUCCACAAUGGGCGAAAGCCUGAUGGAGCAACGCCGCGUGGGUGAAGAAGGUCUUCGGAUCGUAAAACCCUGUUGUUAGAGAAGAAAGUGCGUGAGAGUAACUGUUCACGUUUCAACGGUAUCUAACCAGAAAGCCACGGCUAACUACGUGCCAGCAGCCGCGGUAAUACGGAGGAUGCGAGCGUUAUCCGGAUUUAUUGGGUAUAAAGGGUGCGUAGGCGGGACCUUAAGUCAGCGGUAAAAUUGCGGUGCUCAACGCCGUAGAGCCGUUGAAACUGGGGUUCUUGAGUGAGCGAGAAGUAUGCGGAAUGCGUGGUGUAGCGGUGAAAUGCAUAGAUAUCACGCAGAACCCCGAUUGCGAAGGCAGCGCACCGGCGCCCUACUGACGCUCAGGCACGAAAGCGUGGGUAUCGAACAGGAUUAGAUACCCUAGUACA